rnacentral:rRNA from 1 species
UGAGGAAUUUUGCGCAAUGGGGGGAACCCUGACGCAGCAACGCCGCGUGGGUGAUGAAGGCCUUCGGGUCGUAAAGCCCUGUCGGGCGGGAAGAACGUCCCUUCGGGGAAUGACGGUACCGCCAGAGGAAGCACCGGCUAACUCCGUGCCAGCAGCCGCGGUAAUACGGAGGAUGCGAGCGUUAUCCGGAUUCAUUGGGUUUAAAGGGUGCGUAGGCGGCUUUUUAAGUCAGUGGUGAAAUCUUGCCGCUUAACGGUAAAAUUGCCAUUGAUACUGAUAAGCUUGAGUACAAUUGAGGUAAGCGGAAUGUGUUGUGUAGCGGUGAAAUGCUUAGAUAUUACACAGAACACCGAUUGCGAAGGCAGCUUACUAAACUGUCACUAACGCUGAUGCACGAAAGCGUGGGGAGCGAACG